GAUGAACGCUGGCGGCGUGCCUAACACAUGCAAGUCGAGCGAAGAGACGAGGAGUAUGGGCGUACGAGGGUAGCGGGGGAGGGGAGGGUAACAUGUCGACGAAAUAGCUAUAAGAAAGGGGGAAUAAUGGGGAACAGGAGCUAAUAGGGGAAAAUAUAUUGAAGAGGAAGGAGCAAGAGUGAAAGUAGGUAUUGGUGUGGGUAAUAGAUGGAUACGCGGAGCAUUAGCUAGUGGGUAAAGUAACGGCUUACCAAGGCAACGAUGCGUAGCCGACCUGCGAGGCUGAUCGGCCACACUGGAUCUGAGACACGGUCCAGACUCCUACGGGAGGCAGCAGUCGGGAAUCUUCCGCAAUGGGCGCAGGCCUGAAGCAGCAACGCCGCGUGCGUGCUGAAGGUCUUCGGGUCGUAUAACUCUUUUAUUAGGUAAGAACAUAAGUCUCUUUAACUAGGGACGUUUUGACGGUACCUAAUCAAAAAGCCACGGCUAACUUCGUG
rnacentral:rRNA from 1 species